GACGAACGCUGGCGGCGUGCUUAACACAUGCAAGUCGAACGGAAAGGCCCUGCUUUUGCGGGGUGCUCGAGUGGCGAACGGGUGAGUAACACGUGAGUAACCUGCCCUUGACUUUGGGAUAACUUCAGGAAACUGGGGCUAAUACCGGAUAGGAGCUCCUGCUGCAUGGUGGGGGUUGGAAAGUUUCGGCGGUUGGGGAUGAACUCGCGGCUUAUCAGCUUGUUGGUGGGGUAGUGGCUUACCAAGGCUUUGACGGGUAGCCGGCCUGAGAGGGUGACCGGCCACAUUGGGACUGAGAUACGGCCCAGACUCCUACGGGAGGCAGCAGUGGGGAAUAUUGCACAAUGGGCGGAAGCCUGAUGCAGCAACGCCGCGUGCGGGAUGACGGCCUUCGGGUUGUAAACCGCUUUCGCCUGUGACGAAGCGUGAGUGACGGUAAUGGGUAAAGAAGCACCGGCUAACUACGUG
rnacentral:rRNA from 1 species